CGCGUAGGUGGUUUGUUAAGUUGGAUGUGAAAGCCCCGGGCUCAACCUGGGAACUGCAUCCAAAACUGGCGAGCUAGAGUACGGUAGAGGGUGGUGGAAUUUCCUGUGUAGCGGUGAAAUGCGUAGAUAUAGGAAGGAACACCAGUGGCGAAGGCGACCACCUGGACUGAUACUGACACUGAGGUGCGAAAGCGUGGGGAGCAAACA
rnacentral:rRNA from 1 species